UACAGAGGGUGCGAGCGUUGUCCGGAAUCACUGGGCGUAAAGGGCGCGUAGGCGGGAUGGCAAGUCGGUCGUGAAAUCCUUCGGCUCAACCGAAGAACGUCGGCCGAUACUGCCGUUCUUGAGGGAUGCAGAGGAGAUUGGAAUUCCCGGUGUAGCGGUGAAAUGUGUAGAGAUCGGGAGGAACACCGGUGGCGAAGGCGGGUCUCUGGGCAUCUCCUGACGCUGAGGCGCGAAAGCGUGGGGAGCAAACGGG
rnacentral:rRNA from 1 species